rnacentral:rRNA from 1 species
AAUGAACGCUGGCGGCAGGCCUAACACAUGCAAGUCGAGCGAGCAUUUCGGUGCUAGCGGCGGACGGGUGAGUAACGCGUGGGAACGUGCCCUUUUCUGCGGAAUAGUCCUGGGAAACUGGGGGUAAUACCGCAUACGCCCUUUUGGGGAAAGAUUUAUCGGAGAAGGAUCGGCCCGCGUUGGAUUAGGUAGUUGGUGGGGUAAUGGCCCACCAAGCCGACGAUCCAUAGCUGGUUUGAGAGGAUGAUCAGCCACACUGGGACUGAGACACGGCCCAGACUCCUACGGGAGGCAGCAGUGGGGAAUCUUAGACAAUGGGGGCAACCCUGAUCUAGCCAGGCCGCGUGAGUGAUGAAGGCCUUAGGGUUGUAAAGCGCUUUCAGCUGGGAAGAUAAUGACGGUACCAGCAGAAGAAGCCCCGGCUAACUCCGUG